CUCAAAGGAAUUGGCGGGAAGGCACAAGCGGUGGAGCAUGUGGUUUAAUUCGAUGCUACGCGAAGAACCUUACCAGGUCUUGACAUCUUCUGCCAACCUAAGAGAUUAGGCGUUCCCUUCGGGGACAGAAUGACAGGUGGUGCAUGGUUGUCGUCAGCUCGUGUCGUGAGAUGUUGGGUUAAGUCCCGCAACGAGCGCAACCCUUAUUGUUAGUUGCCAGCAUUCAGUUGGGCACUCUAGCAAGACUGCCGGUGACAAACCGGAGGAAGGUGGGGAUUGACGUCAAAUCAUCAUGCCCCUUAUGACCUGGGCUACACACGUGCUACAAUGGACGGUACAACGAGUCGCGAAACCGCGAGGUCAAGCUAAUCUCUUAAAGCCGUUCUCAGUUCGGAUUGCAGGCUGCAACUCGCCUGCAUGAAGUUGGAAUCGCUAGUAAUCGUGGAUCAGCACGCCGCGGUGAAUACGUUCCCGCCCCUUGCACACACCGCCCG
rnacentral:rRNA from 2 species